UGCUAAGCAACAGGUAGGCCAACAUUUUGGCUUGGCCUGCGAGGCUGCCUCACCAAUACCCUCUCAGUCACAACCCAAACACACGGUCGCGCACACACAUACACAUGUACGGCAGCAGAGAACCACAGCAUGCAGCUGUUUACGGCUCGUCGGUGCGUUGAAGCCGAUUCGUGCCAUUCGUUUAUGGCACUCGUGUUCGCCGCUGCGACAAGAACAGGGAAAUUUUUUACUAUCUGUGCGCUCGCUCUCUGUCUGGCCAUCUCUCUCUUGCUCGCUCGCGCUCUCGCCUUUAAGUUGUGCUUGUAAAUUUCCCUAGUGCGAUUUACACUAGCAGUCCAACAUCAUACAAGUGUUUUCUCGCAUGCGAUUUUGGAGUCGUGCGAAUCGUCGCGUCGUUGGGAUUGCCGGAGAAUUCGCAACGAUGUGGACGCCGCCGUCAACAUUGACGUCGCCGUCUACGCACGCACGCUGGCAAAAUUUGUGGAGCCAAACGCUCUGCGUCCGUCGACAGAGUCGCUGGCUCUGCUGCCUGCUUGCGUUGUGGCUGUGUCUCUGGCGCAAAGUGAUUUCAGUUUCUAGUUCUCGUUCAGCAUUGCCGACGGCACGACGUGUUUGUUCUAGUCUGUGUGUGGGCGCGGGCGCCGAAGCAGCAGUAGCAGCUGAAGCGCAAUUUCCCUUGCCUUUGCCUGCAACAACGACAAUCGGCGACAAAACCAAACAAAACAAAUCAAAAACUGAUGUUCACUUGAGCUCGUCGGCGACAGAUUGUGGGGCGGGGGCAAAAAAAAAAAAAAACAACCUUAAUACACAAUAUUUGAACGUGCAACAAAUCAAUAACAAAAUAAAGCAAA